ensembl:lncRNA
CUCAUUUAAGGGUUAGCAGCUGAGGAAGCAGAAUUGCUUUGGAUGGAGACUAUGCUUCUUUUGAGCUGCUGCUGGUUGUUGGAAGGGGGGAGUUGGACUUCAGUGAGCUUCAAGGGUCCUUUCCAAUGCAAAUGAUUUCAUGAUGUUUAUGUGUGUGAAGACUUACCUCUCUAGACCUCUAAUAUACAACCACGCAGUGGGGUUCAGGAAAUCAGAAACUUUAAUUUCUGGCAUUACCAUUGCAGGCCUGAACCAGACCACCAAGCAGCACGAAGUUUGGCAGGUGGCUGAGAUGUGUGAUUGUGAGGGACCAGGACCCCGAACUCUCCAGCUUCAAGCGCACAGACCUUCACCCUACAGAGGCUGUAUGGAAGCAGGAGGCCCCGUGGACCCAUGGCCAUCACUACUGUGCUGUCUGAGGAUGAAGGCAUCUGGGAUGAGCUGCAUAACGCAACAGAAACAGCACGGUCUUUCUUUGCUUAGAAGUUUCAAGCCAGGAAAUUCCUCAGCCUGCUUGAAAGCUCAGAGACAAAAGUCAGAUUUACACAGCUCACCUCAGCAGUCCAGUGCUUAUGAGAGAAAGUGCUGUAAAUUAUUCUGAGGAAAAAAAAAAGGAAGACUCCUCAUCUUUCUUUCUGAUUGUCACAUUUUAUUUCUGUAGAGAAAACCUGCCAAUUCUUUAUGUGAUUUCAAUAUUUCUAAAAAUGAUCAUAUCAACAGCAUGCACCUUUAUCCGACACAUUCAGCUUCUCAAAUGUGACAUGAGAGUGUAUGAUUUAAUUCUCCCUUUGACAUGAGUGUUGGAUUCUGAUCAGUCUUUCAGUUUACCUCCACUGAUGAUCCAUCCAAAUAAGUGUCAGGGUUCUUUCACGAUAACUCUUUCUCCACCAGUAAGGCAUUAUUUGAAUGUGGCAUUCUCUUGUCCCUUUAAAAAAAAAAAAUCCUAUUCUAAAUUGAUUCACAAGGAUGGAGCAAAAGGGGUUUUAAGAACAGAUUUGAGUUGUUAGCAUGCAUUGUAAAACUAUCAACAGCUUCCUUGGGGUCUAACAGGAAUGCUGAAAACUAUGUCAAAGCUUAUACAAAUAUUUAAGUGGAAGGCUUUCCAAUGUAAAUCUCAAUAAAAUGAAAUCAAAUAUGUGGUGCAGAAAAAGAGAAGUAGAUGACUGUCUCACAUCACUUUUCUAUUUGUCUUUUUGUAAAAUGUUCUCCAAUGGAUGCACGGAUCUGUUUAUGGCAAACUGAAGCAGACCAACAUUAGGCUUAAUGCUUUCAAAGUGCCUCGCAUGACGUUCCCCCAAGCCUUUGGGACCUAUGGAUCAUUAGGUAGGAGCAAUUGAACUAGAUUUCCAAAUAUUCCCCUAUGUUACCCACACACCCCACUACAACAUAACAAAUUGGCCCUGCAAUAUGCCAUUGCGUGCCCUAAUUCAGUAGGGCAGAGAAGAGAGCAAUUGGUAGGACGGCUC